rnacentral:rRNA from 1 species
CCUACGGGAGGCAGCAGUAAGGAAUAUUGGUCAAUGGACGAAAGUCUGAACCAGCCAUGCCGCGUGAAGGAUGAAGGCCCUCUGGGUUGUAAACUUCUUUUAUCUGGGACGAAAAAAGGGUAUUCUUACCCACUUGACGGUACCAGAGGAAUAAGCACCGGCUAACUCCGUGCCAGCAGCCGCGGUAAUACGGAGGGUGCAAGCGUUAUCCGGAUUCACUGGGUUUAAAGGGAGCGUAGGUGGGCUGAUAAGUCAGUGGUGAAAUCUCCGGGCUUAACCCGGAAACUGCCAUUGAUACUAUUAGUCUUGAAUUAUCUGGAGGUAAGCGGAAUAUGUCAUGUAGCGGUGAAAUGCUUAGAUAUGACAUAGAACACCAAUUGCGAAGGCAGCUUGCUACGGAUUGAUUGACACUGAGGCUCGAAAGCGUGGGGAUCAAACAGGAUUAGAUACCCUGGUAGUCCACGCCCUAAACCGAUGGAUACUCGACAUCAGCGAUACACUGUUGGUGUCUGAGCGAAAGCAUUAAGUAUCCCACCUGGAAGUACGACCGCAAGUUGAACUUAAAUGAAUUGACGG